GAAGUUUGGACAAUGGGCGAAAGCCUGAUCCAGCAAUGCCGCGUGCAGGAUGAAGGCCUUCGGGUUGUACACUGCUUUUGUACGGAACGAAAAGCUUUGGGUUAAUACCCUGGAGUCAUGACGGUACCGUAAGAAGAAGCACCGGCUAACGCCGUGCAAGCAGCCGCGGUAAUGCGUAGGGCGCAAGCGGUAAGCGGAAUUACUGGGCGUAAAGCGUGCGCAGGCGGUUGUGUAAGACAGAGGUGAAAUCCCCGGGCUCAACCUGGGAACUGCCUUUGUGACUGCAAGGCUAGAGUACGGCAGAGGGGGGUGGAAUUCCGCGUGUAGCAGUGAAAUGCGUAGAUAUGCGGAGGAACACCGAUGGCGAAGGCAACCCCCUGGGCCUGUACUGACGCUCAUGCACGAAAGCGUGGGGAGCAAACA
rnacentral:rRNA from 1 species